AAGUGAAAAGAGCAAGAAACGAGCCAAAAACGGACAAAAUAGGCUGAUUUCAGUGUUCCACAUGGCCUAGGCACUUCCACAUGGGUAAUUCACACACCCGUAUGUGACACACGGGCAGGCCACACACCCGUAUGCAUGGCCGUGUCGACAUUAAACCAUAUCAAAAUUGCACACGGCCUGAGCACCUUCACACAGGCGUGGCACACGGCCUUGUCCCUGUCGAGCCCAAGUCUAAUUCUAUUCGGAAAAGGAUAAUUUUGGGCUAUUUUAGGCAUUCCAAAGUUUAUAUAAACACCCUAGAAGAGGAUCAAAAGAGGAUAUACAGAGUAGAAGGAAUACUCGAAGACAACUAUCGGAAUCAGCUCAGAAGCAGGAUCUACUACAAGACUGAAGAUCUCCAUUCAAUUUCUUUAAAAGUUCUUUAGGUUUCUUUAUGUUUCUUUGUUUUCCCAAUUUUGAGAUGUUUUCCCCCAUCGUUAUGAAAUAAACUCCCUAAAUACCUACGGGAGAUGAAACCUAAGACAGAUCUUAUCACU
rnacentral:lncRNA from 1 species